rnacentral:rRNA from 1 species
AUUGAACGCUGGCGGCAGGCUUAACACAUGCAAGUCGAGCGGGGGAAGGUAGCUUGCUACCGGACCUAGCGGCGGACGGGUGAGUAAUGCUUAGGAAUCUGCCUAUUAGUGGGGGACAACAUCUCGAAAGGGAUGCUAAUACCGCAUACGUCCUACGGGAGAAAGCAGGGGAUCUUCGGAUCUUGCGCUAAUAGAUGAGCCUAAGUCGGAUUAGCUAGUUGGUGGGGUAAAGGCCUACCAAGGCGACGAUCUGUAGCGGGUCUGAGAGGAUGAUCCGCCACGCUGGGACUGAGACACGGCCCAGACUCCUACGGGAGGCAGCAGUGGGGAAUAUUGGACAAUGGGGGGAACCCUGAUCCAGCCAUGCCGCGUGUGUGAAGAAGGCCUUAUGGUUGUAAAGCACUUUAAGCGAGGAGGAGGCUACUUUAGUUAAUACCUAGAGAUAGUGGACGUUACUCGCAGAAUAAGCACCGGCUAACUCUGUGCCAGCCGCCGCUGUAA